AUUCUGGUUUUGAUGAAAAAGGAGAACACAUUGUAGUAGUCAGGCCAGGAGGUGAGGAAUGCCUGGAUAACUUUGGGCCAGAUCUUUAUCUUGAUUGUAGAGACUGUUUCCUGACCAGCUGGUGAU
rnacentral:lncRNA from 1 species